AUCUAAAGCUCUUAAUAAAUCAUAAAUGUCUCUUGUUCUCCCUGCAGGCCCCGCGGUUAGCAGAGCGGUACUGUGUGUGCCACCUGGCCACCGGGGACAUGCUGAGGGCCAUGGUGGCCUCCGGCUCGCAGCUCGGCAAGAGGCUCAAGGAGACCAUGGACGCUGGCAAACUGGUCAGUGAUGAAUGGUGGUGGAGCUCAUAA